ACUUUUCAUCUUUAAAGUUAUAUUAAUUCUGUGGCCUGGGUCUUAAAGGGCCAAUCUCACGUUUUGUAACUUUCGGAAAAUGAGCUUUAAAGUUUUUAUUCUCCUCUAGGCUCUAUGAGUGUCAUUUUUAUCACAAUAGGUAUAUAAAGGAUGUUUUAAUUUUUGUGUUUAGCUAUUUAGACUAACUCGUUUAAGCCUAAAAUUGACACUGGCCCUUUAGACCCAAGCCACAAAAUUGUAAGUUUUUUUUUAUUUUUAUUUUAAAUAAUAUUUACGAACUGUACAUACAAUAAGAAAACAUGUUAAGGCAUUCUUCUAAAAUUCUGUAAAUAAAUGACAUGGGAGAUUACGAGUAGGGAACCUAUCGAGUGAUAGGAACCUUAAAACAGGUUUGGCUAGAAAUCAAGAAGUAGCAUUGCAAUUUAGAAGAUCACAACACCAACGUCUUUUAAGACAGCGAGGGGGUCGUCUGGAAUAGUGGCUGUGUGCUGGCAAGAAUUAUUUCGAACGUCUUCAUCGAAUGCCAAACUAUGUUCUUGCGAAUAAUAGUUUACCAGAUCAACCUCAAAAUGAAUCAUUGUGUUUGCUGAUAUACGAGGUGGGCAACCUAAUUCUUUGUAAGCCAAGUCAGGAUGAAUUAAAAAUCUAGCGUGUUCAAUCCGCCCGUGUACAAUUUAUAGAUUUUAAUUUAAUAAUCAGAAAUUGAUCAAUUGGUUAAUUUUCGUGCAUGUUUUGUAAUACAUAUAUAUAUUUAUUUUUAUAACCUAUGAUUUGUUUUAAAACAAAAAAGUGCUUUAGGGGAUUGAAAGCGGACGGUUUUUAAUGGGUUUUAUAAAAGGCAAUAUUUAAGAAAAAAGCGACUUUUCGACCAUUCAAUCUAGUUUCCGGUUACUUUGUCUAAGCUAGGGGAAUCAUUUUUAAUUUUUACAAUUUAUUAAUCGAGUAAAGGCCAUUUUGUGCCUAUAAGAAAUUAAUUAAGACCUAAAAUCUUGACAAAAUUAUGCCUACUUAGAAUGAUUGGAUUUUAAUUCUGUAAAAAUAUUUGAGCUCUUCAGCUUUUUUUCUAGGUUACAGUGUAAGUCAGAUUAAUAAAACAAUAUAUAGAAUACUAAAAACUUAAGAAAUUAAAAUAGGAUUUAAACACAUUUUUAAUUGAAAUAUAAAAAAAUUAUUCACAAAAUAACCUUGAAAAAAGGCCGAUAAACUUGAAUUUUUUUUAUAUAGAACUGAAAUCAGAUAUUCUACGUAGGCGUAAUUUUGUCAGGCUUUUAAGUCUAGAACGUUGAAAAAACCAGUCCGCUUUCAAUCCUCUUAAAGGCUGAAAAUAGUUUAUAACAUUAAACUCUUCUUAACACAAUAUUGUAAUUUUUUUUUAAUUAUAUAAAGAACUUAUUAGGAAUGAUAGUUGUGAAGUGACCGGAUGGAUUACAUAACCAUGAUCCAGACAUGGAUAUAUUUGCUCGCUGUACGUACAAGAAGACUAACCCUUAAUCGAUGUGCUACGGAAAUGACGACCCUUAAAGUCAUUUAUGAUGAAGAGAUAGCACAAUUAAACCACGUUAACAAUCAAUUGGCGUACACCAGCUUCUUGAGAACAAUGGAACGGGCCAGGGCCGAGGCUCAGCCAUCGAUACCCCAGACUCUCUUGGGAUAUGCGGGCAAUUUGUCCGACCCAAGGUACCGCCAUUUGUUUUUAACAGCCAAUCACCAAGAGUUGUACAGGGGCUAUUUGUAUAGAUGGCAGUGUAGAAGUUGGUGAACCAGUAAUUUUCAUUUCACCUUCGAUGAUAAAACAACAUUAAAACUUAAAUGCGAAACCGCACUGACCAAUGAGAUCGACUCUGCCAGCUGCCAACCUGCAACGCUGUUGGUUUCACGUGGUUCAAGCACUCGAGAAAAAUGCUAAAGAGUUUGGCAUGCGGUGACGUGAAAAUCGAAACGACUUGGCGUUGCCUAAUAUAUUCCGCAUUUCGAAGGCUCUGGCCCUUUUACCGGUCGAACACGUAGUCGAGGGUUUCAAUCUGAUUAAAGAAGAAAGUUUGAUGGCGGUAAAUCCAAACAUUGCUCGUCGCUACGUUGAGUACUUCGAGAGCCAAUCAAUGAACCGAGUUGGUGUAGAGAAUUUUAGCGUCCACGGGCAAGCCAGGCGCACAAAUAAUGACCAUGGGGUGUUUCAUAGAGUGUUAAACUUAACCAACACAUUAUUUAAACUUAACC